AUAAUUGGUUUGGACUGAACAGUGAGCACAUCAGAGCCUGUCUUGUUUAUGAAAAAAACAACUGAAUCUACUAAAUGUUGACACCUUUUUUUUGAGAUGACACGUUCAUUGCCUCUAUUUCAGACACAGAUGACGAUGUUGAAUUGAUUGAGGAGUCAGAUGUUGACAUAUCUGACUUAGACCGCUAUCUUCACGAUCAGAGAGCUUUCUCCUCUCCGAAAAGAACUCGCCUCGGUUCAGCUUCUAAAGGCUGUAAACUCACAGACAGCCAAAGACAGAUUCUCCGUGGUGCUACCUCAAUAGGAAAACAUCUCACAGUUGA